rnacentral:lncRNA from 1 species
CAUUAGAGGUUUAUACAAUACUGAAAGGUAAUCCUACUUAUUAUCCAUUGGAUGAUGCAGAUAAUAACUUCUGAGAGAGGGAAGUUAGAAAAUAUUUUUUCAUUUAAUGUUCUAUUUGUUUGCAAAUGUUAUUUCAUUGAAUCUUUACAAGUUUUUUUUCAAAAAAAGGAAACUGAAGUUAAAUAGUCCGUAAUCGUACAGCUGUUAAAGAUUUGAAUCCAGAUCUGAUGAACCCCAGAAACAUACUCUUAAAUGUUCCAAAGGCAAUUAAGAGAGUUAUAAAGUGAGAAUGUAAAUUUAGGGAAAAUAUAAUAUUCAGUUGUAAGACAGCAAUCAAAUCAGUGUAUAUCCCCACAAUUAAAGGUUAUAUAAUUAUUGCAAAUUAAGUGUUUAAGAAAUAUUUAGUAUCUAGAGAAUAUGGAAUACUAAAAAAUAUAAAAGUAUGAUUCCAUUUUUUUAAUAUGCAUAUAGUUUUAUACAGAGAGGAUUGGAAGGAAGUACAUAAAUGGUUAGCAUUUGGGAGAAUUAUCCCAAAGUUGUGAUAUCGUGGAGUAUAUGAAUUUCUUCUUUGUAACUAUCUGUUCCAAAUUUUUUACAGUGAAGGUAAACUUUUAUUAUGAAAAAAGGUCAUUUAAAGGACUAAAGAAAAAACAAGACGAACUUAUUUAAAAGUCUUAGAAUGAUUAAAGUAGAAAGGUUUUAUGUUGAUUUUUCUUGUCUCUGGGAUAGAACCGGCCUAACCACCCCAGCCAGAUUAAUGGUUUCUGUUUUAAGAUCAUCUCACUAGACAAGCCUUUCCCUCUGCCUUACAGGUACUUCCUUUGCUCAAUAGCAAAAGGAAAAGGAAUUUUCUCUUUAUAUUAUUUCAUGAGGACAUGGUCAUGAGGGAGUUCCCGUCGUGGCUCAGUAAUAAUGAACCUGACUAGUAUCCAUGAGGAUGCGGGUUCAGUUUCUGGCCUCGAUUGGUGGGUUAAGGAUCUGGUGUUGCCAUGAGCUGUGGUGUAGGUCUGAUGUGGCUCAGAUCUUGUGUUGCUGUGGCUGUGGUGUAGGCCAGCAGCUGAAGCUCCAGUUCAACCCCUAGCCUGGGAACUUCCAUAUGCUGCAGGUGCAGCCCUAAAAAGACAAAAACAACAACAACAACAAAAAAACAUGGUCAUCCCAUGUCUUUUAAUGUUCCUGCCAGAAGAAAGAAAUUUAAUGCUCCUGCCUGGGCUUUAUUUUCUAUUCCAUAAAAACAUUGAAAGAAAUUAUAAAUAUUGAUACUUAAGAGAAAUUAAAAAGUAAUAGAAAAAAUGGAUUGUUACAUGUUUCCAUUACUUUUUUUUUUUUAAGAAAUAGUUUAUGCAUGAUCCAUCUCAGGUUUCCUCUGGGUGGCUCUUUUUCUAGUAAUAUCAGGAAUGACUAUCUCCUCAUUGAGCUUUAGCACACUCUAGUGGACAGCAGCUUUUCAGUUUGGGUUGUGACUUUUAAAAAAAAUUUUUUUUACAUCAUGCCAAAUGACUUUAUUGGACAGUUCAAUGAUGUGCUUGUUAGGUGGUAAAAUUUGUCAAUAUUGAUUUGAGUCAAGUAGUAAGGCUAGUCAGUAGGCCUAAUUAGGCUGUUGGGUGUUGUAUAUUUUUGUAUGGUUUCUUUAGUAGAGAGAAGAGGCUUUUUACAUUCCAUCGAAACUUGUUUCCACUGGCUUUUUGACUGUGUGUAAAUGUUGUCAUAACCUAUCCUGAUGGAUUGUUUUUGGAUAUGGGCUUCCACCAGAAAAAGAGAAAGUAAUUUUUUAUUUUGUUUUUGCAGAGUGAUGGUGAGGAUUUUAAUUACAUUGUUGCAUUUUUCCUUGGAACAGCAGCCUGCCUUUAUCAGUGUUACUUACUUGUCUACUACACCGGCUGGCGGAAUGUCAAAUCUUUUUUGACUUUUGGCUUAAUCUGUCUAUGCAACAUGUAUCUCUAUGAACUGCGCAACCUCUGGCAGCUUUUCUUUCAUGUGACUGUGGGAGCAUUUGUUACACUACAGAUCUGGCUAAGGCAAGCCCAGGGCAAGGCUCCUGAUUAUGAUGUCUGACACCAUCCUUCAGACUAUUGCCUUGGCUUCAGGGGAAGGAGGAGGGAGCAUGUCUUAACUACCACUGUGAUGAAGAACCUGUUCACCACAAAGAAGCUCUGUUUUCUCUCUCUCCAACUGUCUUUUUUGCUUUAAGUCAGCAUAGCAUGCCUGUGAGCAUGCAUUACCUGUUAGGCAAACUUCUCUCAGCAGAAUGUUGGCCAUGAGGUUAUCAUUUGGAAGAUGAGGAGACGCCAUGGCAGUGGAAGAAUAGUCAGUCACCAUUGGAAGACUUGGCCAGCAGCCGUGGCUGGAGGGUUGAGUCAAAAAGUAUGUGUGGUACUUUCUCUGAGAACCAAGCAGGAGCUCUACAACCCCAGUUUGCCUUUGUGAGGCAUUAGUGUAGACCAAAUAAAAAGAUGCUGCAGUGAAUUAGAAAGUUUAUGUGUAAAACAUGACUUGCUGAAUAUCAGAUUAUUUGCACAUUUAUGGUACCAUGAGUUUAUGAAGUCUAAAUUGGUGUGGAGUUAAUUCCUUUUCCUUUUGCUUGAAUCUAAACUCUGGAAAUUGCCCAGUGUAGAAGAAGGCUGUGGUAAGCUCAUCCUUGGCUUUCCUUUCACAAGUAUUGAAUACUCUUCCUUUCACAAGUAUUGAAAACACAGUGACACAUGUUUUUUUCUUAGACCAUGUUUAUACUUUCUUUUGGAAUAACUUUUGAAAAUAUGAUUUGUUAGACCAUAACCAUUGUUUCCCAGACUUCAAUCACUUGAGUAUUAUACAUGCUAUGAUUUACUUAAUAUUCAUCUUUUAAAUUUUAAAAUAUUUCAAAAAGAAACUCUACUCCAAGUGGAAAACCAGCAUCAGAUUGCUAUAAAUAAAAGAUAACAACAAAAUAAAUACAAUUAAAACAAAAAAUGUUAUUAAAUUCUACCUAAAUACCAGUGCAAGUCAAGGCUCUGAAUCCAAGAAGCCUGCUCUUUUGUUGCAGUGAGAGAUGUUACCCAGCACCAAAAUGGGGAUCUCUCUGUGGAAUUAUCAGAAGUCUAAAAGAAAAUUGCAAAGGGAAUGACAUCCUCACCAUGGUUCAGCAUGGCUUAAUUCUGUGUUGAGUACCACCGAAAAUCAUCUUACAUGCCACCCAGUGGUAUGGAUCCUGCACUAUGGAAACACUGAACUGCUCCAAGAGAAUCAGAAGGUGACUCUUCUCUCAGUGCCUCAUUAUUUUAAGGCUUUGAUUAAUUAAGUACCUACUGUCUUAGGUAACUUACUUGCUUUUUGGUAACAUUAUAAAGAUUGUUAAAGCAGUCAUGAAUUAAUAGACAAGGCAUAGUUUGGUUCCAUUAGCAAAAUAUACAGCUCUCCUGGUUUUGAAGUCAUUUUCAUGAGUGAUUUUCUUGAGAAAUUAUUCCAGUUAAAGAAUUCAUGAGGUACUAAAAUUUGAUCUCCAGAAAAACAGUGGACCUAUUACAUAGCAUUCAUGUUACUGGGCAUAUUGAUUCAGCAAAAGAAAUAGUCCAGAGGGGUAGCAUCACUGAAUUACAUUGUUUGCAGAACCGCUAUACCUAAAGUGUGUCUACAAUGAGAAAUCUUGUUUAACUGGGACCUUUUUGCUAUGCUCUCCUUUUUGGAGAAUGAGGCAAGAGAAAGACAAUAAGCUUAUGAUAUUGGGGGUUUAUUUAAUACAAGAAACUUCAGUUCCUCCAAUUUUCUGCAGCUAACAAAAGUGCACAGAAAUUAAUGUAUAUUCUGAGAAAUAUCCCAAGGUACCACAUGAUCCUAAAUCAUCAAAAUAAAAUUGAUUUAUGUUUGGUGUUUUGUACUUACUGAGCCAGGAAAGUAAAGUGGUUCAAUUUAGAAAGUUUUUUCUAAACUAAUGGUUACAACAAGAUUUUUUUUUUGUACAUAGUCAGUUAACCAGGAGAUUGGAAUAUUCUGGUUAAUUGUGAUUUUGCUGUAUAUUGAUAUUUUAUAGCUUUCUUACCAGUUCGGUUCUCUGCAUUAUUGAACUAUAAUGUUUGGUAUUUGGAUCCAUUCAGCAAGGAUACUUGAAAACUCACCAGCUAUCUUUAAAGGCAUAAUUUGUUUUUUUGUUUGUUUUUUUCAUGAGGUAUUUUCGAUAAGGGGAUGUUUACAUUUUAAUGUAAAAAAUGAAAACAGGUAUAAAUAAUGAUUUAU